UUUUUUUUCGUUUCCAAGAGGCACGGCCGUGCCUCUCGCGAAAGCACAACCGGGCCUCUCGCGAAAACAAAAUCGUGACUCUCGCGAAAAAAAAUGUAUUUUUUUGCGCAAAAAAAUUAUUCUUUUGAAAGAAAAAUUGGUCGAAAAGCGAGAAAAGACCGGUAAAAAACUAAAACGUCAAAAAAAACCGAAAAAAUCGUUUAAAAAGCCGAAAACACGUGCGUAAAAAUAAAAAAAAUAAAAUCCGGAGGGAGCGCCCAAAGCACGAUACGUGGCGAAUGGCUAUGAGCGCGCCAAGUGGCACUGAUAGUUGCGAGGCUUCCGAAGGAGCGCUCGUUAGUUAGUUGCUCCCAUUUAUCACAGUGGACGCAGUUAUGGUCGUGGGCUUUCUUGGGCCGUGCAGCUAAGGUACGGAGCCACUGAACGGGUCGUUAAUUAGCGCCGAAAAGCUUGAGUUAACGUUGCUCCCCGCGUGAUCUUCUCCAACGACUUGCCUCGUUUCUCGGUUCUCAAGCCUGGAGACUCAAGUCUCAACCCAUUCCAACUCACCGCGCACACACGUACUCGUCAGAACAACAGAAGCUCCUCUCCUCUCCUCUCUUCCGUUGCGUCUGCAUGCAUACUCCACGGCUCGGCUUCCGCGGGCUGCAGCCUGCAGCCAUGACCGCCCCCACCGCGCCACCAAGAAAGCUCUCGCCGCCCGCCGCGCCGCGAAGAAGGCUAUCGCCGCCGACCGCGCCACCAAGAAAGCUAUCGCCGCCCGCCGGACGGGCGCGGCCCGUGAACAUGAGCCCCCCGCGCCGCGUGCCCCAUCCCCAUCCCCCACCCCACCAUCGGCCGCCGACGCCGACGCCGCAGCGCAGCCACCUCCACGGCCAGCAGCAGCAGCACAAGCAGCAGACCUCCGCGUGGAGCGUCGGCUUCCUGAGCGCCUGGCUCUCGCAGCGCACCCCCGUGCUCGGCCUCCGCGCCUGGGUCCUGGUCGCCGCGGCCGCGGCCGCGGUCGUCCUCGCCGUCCUCGUGCUCACCGUCUGCCUCUGCCGCUGCCGGCGCCGACGCCGGCGAUGCCCCCGCGUCGCCCCGAGCCUGCACCACGGAGGCGCGUCCAGGUCCAUGAAGCAUCACUUGCAUCAGGCGAUGGCGGACAAGGACAUCGUCGAGGAGUCCAUCCGCUGGCACCCGCCGCCUCCGUGCGAGCCGCCGUUCCAGCCGCCGAUCGAGGUCAUCAAGGCGGAGCAGAAGGCCCCGCUGAUCACGGUCGAGUCCGCGCGGACUAGCGGCGAGACGGGGACGAGCAUCGCCGGGAGCGCGCGCGGGUGGAGCACCGAGAGCGGCGCCAGCGACGCGGGGGCCGACGCGUCGCAGCGCGGCUGGGGCCGCCGGUACACGCGCCGGGAGCUGGAGGAGGCCACCGACGGGUUCGCCGCCCAGAACGUGCUCGGGGAGGGCGGCUACGGGGUGGUCUACAAGGGUGUGCUACGAGACUCCACCCUCGUCGCCAUCAAGAAUCUGCACAACAACAGGUAAUCCUCGUCCCGGUGCUCGAAUUUUUCGGUGUCUCACGAGUUUCUCCAAUUGAAUUUCAGGCAGCACAUUGUUCAACCAUUCGAAUUUGUUGUCAUUAGAAACGCGAAAUGAUGUCCUCCUUUGAAUUCGUUACGAGGCAAUCCGAAAGCCACACGUCGUUUGUUGAUCUAGGUUCCGGGUUAGCUUCGAAAUCUGGAUUGAUUUAAAAUGCAGAACUCCCACUAGAACCGCACUCUUCUGUUUUUUGACGCUGAAAUUUCACACUGUUUUCCGAUAUGUGUGUGAUCAGGAGAAGUGUUAUUUUCUUGUUUAGUUGGGAGCAACAACUUUGUUCGGGGCAGAUACCAGAUUUGAAUUUUCAGUUCACGUGUACUACUCCGCAACCAUGGCCAGCAGUAACUGCCUCCAGCGGCCUUCUGGGACCCAAGAUGUUCAAAUUUCAAAACAGCGAUCACCAACUGCUCCGUCCUUGGUUUCAGGGGCCAGGCCGAGAAAGAUUUCAAGGUGGAGGUGGCGACGAUCGGGCGGGUUCGGCACAAGAACCUGGUCAGUUUGCUCGGCUACUGCAGCGAGGGCGCCUGCAGGUGAGCAAUGCAAUGCUUAACUGUGCCACAUUUCUUCAGUUACCUCUGUUUGUCCUCUGUUCACAACAUUGCUUAAUUUGAUCCAUGUCACUGCUUUGGUUGGAUGGAUAGGAUGCUGGUCUAUGAGUACAUGGAGAACAGUAACCUCGACAAGUGGCUGCACCAUGCGGAGGGUGAAAUUAGUCAGCUCAACUGGGACACAAGGAUGCACAUACUUCUCGGAACUGCUAAAGGGUACGGCAAUUCUUCAAUUUCGUAUCAUUCAACAAAGCAUGGAUUAAAAAACCUAAAAUUAAAGAUGGUCGAUUAGGAGUAGAGAAGAAGUAUGGUAUGUAUCUAGACAACAAAUUUUAUGCACGCACAUCACUGCUGCUAGUUGGCAUGAUUGACAAGUGGUGUGUCACUCUGAAAUCUGAAUGCUGAAAACAACAUCGCCAGUGCUACUCUUGCUUAAACGGCACAUAUGUCUUGAACAUCGAAAGUCUGAUACGCGUGCGCAGUGCACACUAGCAAGAACUGAUGUGCAUCUUUUACCCGAACUUCAGGUUGGCGUACCUUCACGAAGGGCUGGAGCCCAAGAUCGUCCACCGAGACGUCAAAUCCAGCAACAUCCUUCUGGACGGGCAGUGGAACGCCAGGGUGUCGGAUUUCGGGCUCGCCAAGCUCCUCUGCUCCGAGGCGUCCUACGUCACCACCCGCGUCAUGGGAACCUUCGGGUCAGUCUCUCAACUAAAUUUCCAUGGCACCGUUACGUAGAGUUCGUUUGCCUGGCCGCAGCUUAGCAAUUCGCCUGGUCGCGUUGCCUGCAGGUACGUGGCGCCGGAGUACGCGCGGACCGGGAUGCUGAACGAGAGGAGCGACGUGUACAGCUUCGGGGUGCUCGUCAUGGAGAUGAUAACCGGCAGAACUCCGGUGGACUACAUCAGGCCCACCGCGGAGGUCAGCUGCCCUCGCCGUCGUUUUCUUUCUUUUCCUACCCGCGCACUUCGAUCGGCAUGCACUGCCAGUGCACUCUUCUCUAGUGGAAGUGGAACUGAACUUUCCGUGGUGACUCAGGUGAACUUGGUGGAGUGGCUGAAGCGCAUGGUGGCGGAGAGGAGGGUGGAGGAGGUGCUGGACCCGACGCUGCCAGAGGCGCCGCCGUCCAAGGUGCUGAAGCGCGCCGUCCUCGCGGCGCUCCGGUGCGUCGACCCCGACGGCGGCCAGCGGCCCACCAUGGGGCACGUGGUGCACAUGCUCGAGGACGACCUCAGGUUCAGAGACGUACGUCGCCGUUGCCAUACACCGCAUUGAACUGCAACUGUGUUUUUGGUGUCGUCAAACCGUUUUGCUGCUCCAUGCAGGAACUCCAGCUUGCGCGGGGUCUGUCGGCCCACGCUUCGGCGUCGGCGUCGUCGGGGAGCUACGAGCGCGAGGAGUGAACGCCAUGGACAAGGACGGACGAAUGGCUGUGUUUCCUUCGCGUUCGCGCACCGAAUGCUCUUGACAACAAGCUAGUCGAUCGGAUCUCUUUUCUUCUCCGGUUGUGUUUGUUUGCAUGACAGACAGCAAUGACUCAAUCAAACAGCAGGCAUACAGCCGGCGCAUAAUCAAGGCUAGCAGUAGUACGAGGAGUACUUCGCAACUUUAUAUGAUCGACAUAACGGAAGUCCGUCUAUGCUUCCCCGGCACUACCUGUGUCACUUUGGUGUCUAUGGUUUGCUUUAGUUGUUGAAUUUCGGUUGCCAUAAGUUUGCGUCGUUGCCAUCGCUUAACUUAAGUUCAGCCCGUACGUACGGUAGCACUCGCCAUUUCAAGCAGGGCGCAAGAAAGAGAUAUUUCUUCUGGGGCCGGCCCACGUGCCACCCAACCCAGGAACGCAUCGAGAAUGCAGUUACGUGCCACCACUGACCACUGCCCAUGGCGAUAAGGUUAUUGCCACGAGAGGGGAGAGCAGCUCGUCGUCUCCUGCAAUCCACCGGCGGCGCGCAUGGCCGCCUUGCUCCACGUAGCGGCUCUCCAGCCCCCUCACCCCACCCCAAAAACCCAUCAUCCAUGGACGCACAGCCGGGCCACCACGUCCAUCCUCUCGGCACCUGACGCAGCCCCGUCGAAGCGACGACGAGCCCCAGCUCGGCGGCUACACGCGGCCGGCAACGGCAGCGGCGUCGGCACGCCAGCCACGGACAGCACAAGCAACAAGAAGCCGAGCCGCAAGGAGAAGCAGCGGCAGCAGCAGCGGGUGCGGGAGCGGGAGGAGCAGCAGCAGCUGCUGCUCCUGAAGGAGUCGCUCGUGGAGCCCGCCCGCGAGGAGGACGGCGGCGGCCGCGGCGACGACGAGCUGCCGCAGGUGGUGUUCGACCGCAUCCUCCGGCGGAUCCUGUUCACGGUGGGCGUCCCGAUGGCGUCGGGCGUGGCGCUCCUCAACGUGUACGACGCGCUCAAGCGCGGGGGCGGCGCGGAGGUGCCGUCGUGGGUGCAGCUGCUCACCAUCCUCCUCUCCUUCGGCACGUCGGCGCUCGGCAUCGCCUACGGGACGCUGUCGGCGAGCUGGGACCCGGAGAAAGAAGGCUCGCUGCUCGGCAUCGACGAGGCCCGGACCAACUGGCCGGAGCUGUGGAAGGAAGAGAUCGAGAAGGAUAACAAGUAGUAACUGUAAAUAGACUAGAUAUUUUCUCCACUGGAAAUAGCAGUACGCUUGUUGUCGACACUUGAUACUCGUACAGGCUACAGCAGUGAAACUAUGAAACAAUUCGCAGUGGCUUUGCAAGGUCUCUGCAAUAGGUAGAAUGGCCAAAACUGAACACUUGGCAGCAAAAAUGAGAAAACUGAAUGAACCCCCAGGCCGGCCAGAAUACAACACUGAUGAGUCAGUUGCUUUCUGUUCUCCUAAAGCAGAUGGAUGGGUUAUUUUGAUC
rnacentral:lncRNA from 1 species